AUUGAACGCUGGCGGCAGGCCUAACACAUGCAAGUCGAACGAGUGGCGGACGGGUGAGUAAUGUAUGGGAAACUGCCCGAUGGAGGGGGAUAACUACUGGAAACGGUAGCUAAUACCGCAUCCCAUCGGAUGGGCCCAGAUGGUAUUAGCUAUUUGGUGGGGUAAAGGCUCACCAAGGCGACGAUCCCUAGCUGGUCUGAGAGGAGGAGCGUCCACACUGGAACUGAGAAACGGCCCAGACUCCUACGGGAGGCAGCAGUGGGGAAUAUUGGACAAUGGGCGAAAGCCUGAUGCAGCAAUGCCGCGUGUAUGAAGAAGGCCUUCGGGUUGUAAAGUACGUUUAGCGGGGAGGCGGUACCUGCAGAAGAAGCACCGGCUAACUACGUGCCAGCAGCCGCGGUAAUUC
rnacentral:rRNA from 1 species